rnacentral:lncRNA from 1 species
AUCCCUUACCCGAAGAACUCAGCGCAUCUUUCCCCUUUUCCCUUUUACUUCUCAUUCCCUCUUCAUAUCCCUUAAAAACCAGAGAAAACGGCAAUACCAGGGUUCCCCUUUUCUUCUUCUCCAUUCCUCAUCUUCAACAGACAUACAUGCCCUCAUGAUCUGAUUUUUGCGCAUAAUUUUAGAGAACAGCUAAAAUCGGCGAAAUCGAAAAAAAAGGAUUUGAAAGCUAUGGUUAAACUUCUACUCACUUGUUCUAUUUUUCUGAAAAUUCAAGUGCAAACAAGUUUGGGAAAGAGCUUAUGAAGCUAGGAGUAGGGGCUGAUCUCGUCGAUGAUUUCACUGCUGUCCAUGUAGCUGAUUUCCAACAUAGCAUCGGUUCUUUCAGCCUUUGUCCUGGCAUUUAUUUUCGAUUUUUAUUUGUGUUUCAGGUAUGAAUCUCGAUUUGAAGAUGCUGUAAUUGUUGUUAGCUGCUUCGUUACGAUGAAAUUUGCAACAACAGUUCCCUUGUUUCUCUUAAAUUCAUUAAUGUUUUGUGCGAGCUUGAACUAUUGUUUUGCUGAAAUUUGUCGUGAACGUUCCCUUGUUUUAUGAUGUUCUGCUCCAUUUCUAGUACGGCUAACUCUUGCAAUUUCCAAUUUGCUUUCUGAAAUCCCCAUUUUAAUGAUCUUCUUCUUAUGUUGACGCCUUUAAGUCGAUUUUGGAAUUGAUGUUUAUAGAUAAUCCUAUGUUAGUUAAUCAUUCUGGUGCUUUAUCAUUUUCUCCCAUUAGUUAGCAUAGUCGUUGCUUAGUCAGUAGUGAAGCAGUUGAUAUAAAGGUUCUUGACACAGGAUAAUUCUUUGAACUCUACUCCGAAAUAUGUGAUCUUUUAACAGCUGAAUAAAAAGACAAUUCUGUGAUAGUUUUGCCCUUAACUGUUUCCAUGGAUGCAAUUACGUGCUUGGACUUGAUGAAAAGACAUUUUUGUUAAAAAAAAAACAUCUGAGUCAUAUUUUCAUAUUAUUGUUUUGUUGGCCUUGGAUUGCUGCAAUCUACAUCUUCCAAUUUUGAUGUUUAUUGAAUCUCAAGGGGUGUAACUCAAAUUUUCGAACUGACCCUUCAUCGGAAGAUCUCUCAUUUGUCAUAGCAUGUAGGCGCAUGUAUGGGUGAUUUACUAAUGUUUAGAUGAGUUCUGCAGUUUCACAUUUAUGCCAUUCACUUAUUAGGAUAUGACUUGCUAGUAAGUGAGUCUCAACUGUGAGGGAGGAGGCAAGAAGUAUGCUUUGGUGGAUCAGGGUUUUCAAUUCCUAUUCAUGUGCAAUUACCUCACACUUGGAUAAUGCUAUUAGUGUAUUUCAAACUUCUUAUUUGAUUUUUCAUACUUAGUGGGUUACCUUCAAUUAUUUUAUUUUUCUUGUUCGUUUUAAAUCUAUUUAGCAACUGGACCUCAUAUUUGUGUUAGUAAGGGAUAUUUUUGGUAUAUAAGUACUAACUUGAAAGUUGGGUUUUAAUGGUAUUUCAAUUGCUGGAAAUUUGCAUCUUUUGUUGUUCUUUUUCAAUCAUUUUAUUGCUUGAAUUCCUUUUGGUUAAUAUUGAAGAUUUUGACAGAAAUUUGAAUAUUGGAUGCAUUCAAAAUGAAUGUCUUUCCUUCGUUGUCUCACUUGAUUAUUCAACAAAGUUGAAGGAACGAGAAUUCUGGGCUUUAUGUUCCAAGUGUAGUUGCUGAUUAGCUUAUGGAAACAUUGGUUGUCUCUGCUUGGUAAUCACAGUGACUAUAUUAUCAUAGCAAUAAUAGUCUGCAUUAUCAAUAAAUCAAAUAUCGUAGCUUGCUUUA